AGUGAACGCUGGCGGUAGGCCUAACACAUGCAAGUCGAACGGCAGCACAGUAAGAGCUUGCUCUUACGGGUGGCGAGUGGCGGACGGGUGAGGAAUACAUCGGAAUCUACUUUUUCGUGGGGGAUAACGUAGGGAAACUUACGCUAAUACCGCAUACGACCUACUGGUGAAAGCAGGGGAUCUUCGGACCUUGCGCGAUUGAAUGAGCCGAUGUCGGAUUAGCUAGUUGGCGGGGUAAAGGCCCACCAAGGCGACGAUCCGUAGCUGGUCUGAGAGGAUGAUAAGCCACACUGGAACUGAGACACGGUCCAGACUCCGACGGGAGGAAGCAGUGGGGAAUAUUGGACAAUGGGCGAAAGCCUGAUCCAGCCAUACAGCGUGGGUGAAGAAGGACUUCGGGUUGUAAAGCCCUUUUGUUGGGAAAGAAAAGCAGCAGGUUAAUACCCAGCUGUUCUGACGGUACCCAAAGAAUAAGCACCGGCUAACUUCGUG
rnacentral:rRNA from 1 species